UACGGAGGAUGCAAGCGUUAUCCGGAAUGAUUGGGCGUAAAGCGUCCGCAGGUGGCAAUGUAAGUCUGCUGUCAAAGCGUCUGGCUCAACUAGAUAAAGGCAGUGGAAACUACAUAGCUAGAGUAAGGUAGGGGUAGAGGGAAUUCCUGGUGUAGCGGUGAAAUGCGUAGAGAUCAGGAAGAACACCGGUGGCGAAAGCGCUCUGCUGGACCUUAACUGACACUGAGGGACGAAAGCUAGGGGAGCGAAUGGG
rnacentral:rRNA from 1 species